rnacentral:lncRNA from 1 species
GUGAGGGUUUGAGUUCGGUUGUAAGUUCGAAUGAUGGAGAAGAUAUAAUGUCAAAGAUCUCCUUGGCCACGGGACAUUUGGACAAGUGGCCAAAUGCUGGGAUUCAGAUACCAACAGUUUUGUUGCUGUGAAGAUCAUUAAAAAUCAACCUGCAUACUAUCAACAGGCGCUGGUUGAAGUAACUAUUUUAACAACGCUAAAUAAGAAGUACGAUCCUGAGGAUAAGCAUCACAUUGUUCGUAUAUUUGAUUAUACGCUGGUUGAAGUAACUAUUUUAACAACGCUAAAUAAGAAGUACGAUCCUGAGGAUAAGCAUCACAUUGUUCGUAUAUUUGAUUAUUUUGUAUAUCAGCGGCAUUUGUGCAUAUGCUUUGAACUGCUAGACACAAACCUGUAUGAGCUUAUCAAAAUGAAUCAUUUUAGGGGAUUGUCACUUGGUAUUGUUCAGCUGUUCUCUAAGCAGAUUUUAUGUGGAUUGGCUCUAUUAAAA